rnacentral:piRNA from 1 species
UACCUAAUUUCUGAAAAGUGUACAGGUU